rnacentral:rRNA from 1 species
UUAAGUGACGAUAGCCUAGGAGAUACACCUGUUCCCAUGCCGAACACAGAAGUUAAGCCCUAGUACGCCUGAUGUAGUUGGGGGUUGCCCCCUGUUAGAUACGGUAGUCGCUUAG